UACGAAGGGUGCAAGCGUUAAUCGGAAUUACUGGGCGUAAAGCGUACGUAGGCGGUUUCUUAAGUCUGCUGUGAAAGCCCCGGGCUCAACCUGGGAAUGGCGGUGGAUACUGAGGAGCUGGAGUACGGUAGAGGAAGGUGGAAUUCCCGGUGUAGCGGUGAAAUGCGUAGAGAUCGGGAGGAACAUCAGUGGCGAAGGCGGCCUUCUGGGCCGAUACUGACGCUGAGGAGCGAAAGCGUGGGGAGCGAACAGG
rnacentral:rRNA from 1 species